CGACAUCAGCUGCUCCAUAAGUUCCCACACGAAUUAACUGACGACAUCAGCUGCUCCAUAAGUUCCCACACGAAUUGCUUGAUUCAUUGAAGAAGACGAAAGAAGCAGCCCGAAAUUGGGUCUGUAGCUCAGUUGGUUAGAGCGCACCCCUGAUAAGGUCAGGUCGGCAGUUCGAAUCUGCCCAGACCCACCAAUUUUGUGUGGGAAUUGCCCUGUAGAAUACGGGCCAUAGCUCAGCUGGGAGAGCGCCUGCUUGCACGCAGGAGGUCACGUUCGAUCCGUUACGCUCACACAUCUGCUCGUGUAAGCUGUCAGGCUUAAGGUAAAAUUUGUGAGUUCUCUUAACUGAGAAAUUCGAAUUUUCGGCGAAUGUCGUCUUCACAGUAUAACCAGAUUGCUUGGGGUUAUAUGGUCAAGUGAAG
rnacentral:misc_RNA from 1 species